GAGGGGAGAGGCGGCCGCACAGCCUGCUUCCUCGCGCCCUGCUCGCCGCCGCCGCUGCCCUCGCCUUGCCGAGCGCACCCGCCCGGGUACACGCACCCCGCCGCCGGGCGCCACCCCGCGCACUCCUCCCGCCGCUCCGCCGGGCAGAUGCGCCGCCGCGCGCCCCGCGCCCCGGGCCCGCCACAGAGCUCCGACGCGCACCGGGGGCUCCUCUCCCAGGCCCCCCUGGGUGCCCUCCGGCUAGGGCUCCCGCCCGCUCCUUGGAAUAACCCCUGAGGCUCCAGCCGUCGCCGCAAAGUUUCCCGAGGAGACCCGCCUCCCCCGGCCGCUGCGCAGGUGAAGAAGCUGUGAGCAGGUGAGAAGGCCUCCCUCGUGACAGCCGUGAAGCAGGAAUAACCCAUCCUCCUGCCUCACCCAUUCCAGAAACUUCUCUACAAACAGAAGCAGCCAAGCAGACCAGCCCCUGCCCCCCCAAGUGGCUUCCCAAAGCGGGGCACGCAGGCCUGACAGCUCAGCAGUGCGAGGAGGCGGCGGGCGAGGCGGCUACGGCCUGUGGUGAACAUCGGAACUCCUCCAGGGGUAGCAGACCCACCCCCACAGAUGCGGCCUGAGUGGCAGGAAUACGGAUGCUUUGGAGAGUGGCUGGCUCCCUCUCAGCUCUGUCACGCAAGAGUGCUCUCUGCACUGAGCCAUUCUGCCAAGUGACUUAAAGGGAUUUUAAAAAGAAAGAAAGAAAGAAAGAAAAAAAACCCUGGUAAAGAAAGAGGGGGUAACAGCCCCACAGAGGCAUUUCAGAAGAGGUGCGGCCUGUGGACAAAGGACCAGAGUUACAAAGAGCUGCGGUGGAAGUGGUGGCCGGUGAAAGGCCACACUCCCCGGGGACCGACAUUGAGCUGUAGGGCAUGCCCUGCUCAGGCGUCCCCGGGGGUGCACACAGAACACACACCCCUCACUCCAGAGAGCCAAGUCAGCAGCAGUGCCCGAGGCCUCGGGUGCCAGAGAUGCCGCUUGGGGCCCGCAGCCACCUCUGAGGCCUCGCCGCGGGACGACGUCACGACCUCCUUACUCUCUGCGUGCCUCGAGCCGCCCAGAGCUGCAGGCUGUGGUUGAGUGCCUCUGGGUCUGUUGGUGACGUGGGGCCAGGGAUGUGAGCGUGGCCCUGAAUUCUGAAGCAGUGACCCCCGUGGGACCCAGUGGCUCCAGGGAGCAGCAGAGGAGGAAUUAAGUCUCAGUGGAGGCAGCUUUACUCCAAAGGGACCCAGGCGGCAGUACCAGGUGGAGGACCGUUUCAUUAGGAGAUGCUGAGAGAGAAAGAAGCAAAAUUACAUGUGUCUCCUUUCAUCCCCCUCCCCCUUCCUGGCCCUGCAUAGUUUAAUAUCGAAUACUGCUAUCAAUAUAAUUAACCUCCUAAGACACAAUUUGAAAGUCUUGUUUUUUAAAGCGAUUCACUUUCUCUGAAGCCACGGAGGACAUCCUGCUGCCCGGCCCCACCCAGCGGCCCACGCGCUUAGGUGAACUCAAAGUUCAUUUCUGGUGGAUUUGCAUACCUGUCUGCAAUUACUGCCAGUGAUAACGGCUGAUACAUAAUGCAUGCGGCAUGAAAUUAGAAAAAUAAUUAACUUUAGAUUUGAAAAGAGUCCCCGCCCCCCCAACUCUCCAGGCAUUACAAAUGCUGAGUGCUAACACUGGACAAGGACUGGGGGACUAAGCUGUUUGGGGUGAUGGGUGGGACUGGUUGGCACCCCACAGAAUGCUAGAGAGUCGGGGUGUGCAGAAGGUGCUCCCAUGGCGUGUGCUGGAACAAGCUUCCAGUUCCUGGGCCUCAUCUGUAACUUACCAGGGAAAUAAUGUGGCUGAUGAAGUGACCCACCUCCCUCUGUGACCAAGGAGUGCUCCGCCAAGCUGAAAGUAGCCUAUUUUAUCCUCACAAGACCCCAAGGAAGUAGACUUGGUCCCAUUUCCCAGACGAAGCCUUAAAGCCUGAAGCUACCACUCUACAUAGGCCGAGACUGAGAGAAGAAGGCAAGUCUUCUAAGGAGAGAGGCUGCCUGUAGAUCCACCUGCCUCUGCCUCCCGAAUGCUGGGAUUACAGGUGUGCGCCACCACUGCCUGACAUUUGUUUCUAAUGGGAGCUGAGACCAUGCCUGAUACUCAGCAUCAGGAUGUUACUCACCCCCUCUAGGGAGCUGUCUUCACUGACAAACAAAAAGAGGAGCUUGGCUAGGAGCAGGGGUGGUCUGCCCAGUCUUCCAGCCUGCCUUCCUUUAAGAAUGUGCCCAGUCAGCUCAGUCCCUACCCCUUUGCCCGUGUCCCCUCAAAGG